UAAACUUAGGGAAUAGAUACCCUAUUAUUCCUACCAUUUGAAUUCUAGAGAUUAACAAUGGUCUGUGGCGGCUCUCUUACAAAUUAGAGAUCCAUGGAUCUAAUGGACAGCCCACCUAAAUCUUUCUAUAUUUAGUUAUACAUCUUUUAUAUCGCCGACUGAAAAAAAAAUCAUUAAUUUUUAUUUUGAUAGUUUAGACUUUUAAGUCAGGUAAAGAUGAAGAUUAUAGUAUUGAAAAUUUGUGGAUCAUAAAUUUUCAGGAAUUAACUAGUUGGAAUGCUAUAGAAAUGAAUUUAAAAGUAAAACUACUUAAUUAUAGUAAUUUGAAAAUUGUUAAAGAGAGUGUACAUACCGCCCGUCACUUCCCUAUAGGAAUAAGUCUAAAACAUAGUAA
rnacentral:rRNA from 1 species